UUGAACGCUGGCGGCAGGCCUCACACAUGCAAGUCGAGCGGAUGAAGGGAGCUUGCUCCUGGAUUCAGCGGCGGACGGGUGAGUAAUGCCUAGGAAUCUGCCUGGUAGUGGGGGAUAACGUCCGGAAACGGGCGCUAAUACCGCAUACGUCCUGAGGGAGAAAGUGGGGGAUCUUCGGACCUCACGCUAUCAGAUGAGCCUAGGUCGGAUUAGCUAGUUGGUGGGGUAAAGGCCUACCAAGGCGACGAUCCGUAACUGGUCUGAGAGGAUGAUCAGUCACACUGGAACUGAGACACGGUCCAGACUCCUACGGGAGGCAGCAGUGGGGAAUAUUGGACAAUGGGCGAAAGCCUGAUCCAGCCAUGCCGCGUGUGUGAAGAAGGUCUUCGGAUUGUAAAGCACUUUAAGUUGGGAGGAAGGGCAGUAAGUUAAUACCUUGCUGUUUUGACGUUAUCAACAGAAUAAGCACCGGCUAACUUCGUG
rnacentral:rRNA from 1 species